UACGUAGGGGGCAAGCGUUGUCCGGAAUCAUUGGGCGUAAAGCGCGUGUAGGCGGUUGGGUAAGUCUGCUGUGAAAGUCCAGGGCUCAACCCUGGGAUGCCGGUGGAUACUGUCGGACUAGAGUACGGAAGAGGCGAGUGGAAUUCCCGGUGUAGCGGUGAAAUGCGUAGAGAUCGGAAAGAACACCAACGGCGAAAGCACUCUGCUGGGCCGACACUGACACUGAGAGACGAAAGCUAGGGGAGCGAAUGGG
rnacentral:rRNA from 1 species